rnacentral:rRNA from 1 species
GUCUAGGCCAUACUACCCUGAACAAGCCCAAUCCCAUCUGAUCUUGGAAGAUAAACAAGGUCGGGCUUGGUUAGUACUUAGAUGGGAGACCACCUAGGAAGACCAGGUGCUGUAGGCG